rnacentral:rRNA from 1 species
GACAGAGGUGCCGAGCGUUAGGCGGAAUCACUGGGCUUAAAGCGCGUGUAGGCGGUCCGGUAAGUCCGCUGUGAAAGUCGGGGGCUCAACCCUCGAAUGCCGGUGGAUACUGUCGGGCUAGAGUGCGGAAGAGGCGAGUGGAAUUCCUGGUGUAGCGAUGAAAUGCGCAGAUAUCAGGAGGAACACCAAUUGCGAAGGCAGCUCGCUGGGACGUAACUGACGCUGAGACGCGAAAGCGUGGGGAGCAAACAGG